GAAAGGCACAUAUCUUAUAUA
rnacentral:snRNA from 1 species